UUUAUGUAAAUCCGGGGUUAACUAGUAGACUGACUAGUGCAAGUGUAAGGUUGUGCUAUCAAUGGGUGCAAAUGGAUUUCUUAGUAAGCUUAACCUUAGGGUGGGGUGAACCCCGGAGGAUAUGAUGGUUCUUCUAUAUUAAUUCCAUUUCUUGCUCCUGGUGUGCCAAUAACUCAUUUACCCUUUAGCAAGCUAGCUAGUAGUUGUUUUAAUUUAGACAUAUGUGCCUCAAUGUUCAAUUAUAUUUCCAUCAUUUUUUCUCUUAUCUCCUUUUGUGCCUUUUCAACCCUCUUAAACCUACUUGUAUUCUUUCUUUCCAUCCCUUGAGAUUUGGAACGGUUUUAUACCUAUGCGAAAUUGUUUAACUUGAUUUCUUUAGCUUCACUAUCCUUGAACCUCUG
rnacentral:lncRNA from 1 species